rnacentral:lncRNA from 1 species
UAACUGUCCCAUUGUAGGUACGUCUGUGUACUCGGGAUUUGGCAUAAGGCUGGACGCACAAGGGAGAGAUUGUGGCCGGCCCUCUCACCUCGCCCCAUUUGGAACUCAUGAUGCGGAAGUUGUCACUUAGGAGGUUCAGGACCUCAGGAACUCCGGGUCCCCGUAGCCAUAGCGGUUCCCGAAGACAAGAACAGAUCCUGCGGACCCCACACCCUGCCCCUGCUGGACUCAGUUGGCUGACCUCGCCCCAGGGGCUGCUCAUGAUUUGGAAGUUGUCAUUGAUAAGGCGGAUAAUGGUGAGCAGACGCUCAUCAUCAUAGUCGAAGCGGCUGCCGAAGAGCACGGAACAGAUAAUGUUGGACACUGAGCGACUCAGCACAAACGUGGGGUCAAAGGGCUCGCCUGAGGGUAAGGAGUGCAAUGGAUCAGGAAGACGCGAUGUGCAGCACACCAGACCUCAUGCAGCAACACCAUUAAUUUGUACAACAUCCGACUCAACCAUGGCAACGUGUCUUACGGUGCAAACACGGGGACAUGGUCACAACAUGCUGCUUAACGACACCCCAAAAGCAUCUGUCAAUGCCACAGACGGCACCGAACCCACAACUUCCUGCAGCACAUCGACAGCAACAACGCCCAACCACAGAACGGGCUAUUCUUGGCAACACAACACACAGCACGCGACAUAGCACAAGGCAAUCAUCAGGCAUCACGGAACACAACAACACAGGGCAACAGAACACCCAGCAAAUACGAUCACAGUACAUGCCAACACACGACACGCAGUGACCUAACAGCCAGCCCGGAAACAUCCCAAGACACGGUAACCACACACCAACACAUAAAGCCAGCAUACAGCUACAUAAUCCUGCCACACAACACACGCUAGUACACAGCAACCCAGCCUGGGCGACAGAGCAGUCAGCAAGCAGAAUCGCUUGAACUCAGGAGGCGGAGGUUGCAAUGAGCUGAGAUCACACCAUUGCACUCCAGCCUGGGGGACAGAGCGAGACUCUGUCUCAAAAAAAAAAAAGUAGAAUGGAUGUGAAUUAUAAGGAUGAACUGGAUUCAAAGACCUGGCCAGACAUGGUGG